GCUGCCCGCAGCGUCUGCAGAGACCUGCCACUGAGUGGCAGCUCUGACAGAUGGGGAGCCUGAGGCUCGGGGAGCAGAGAGGCUGACCCAAAGCCUUCGGAACCUGCCCUCUCCUGACACAGGGCGUGGGCUGGGGCAGAGAGAUCAAAGCCGCGUGCCGAUUUGAUCCAUCCCCGGAUAAAGGGCAGGUUUGUUCCUGCCCAAAUGUGCGGCCAGACGGCCAGGCUCCGGAGGAGACGCCUCACUCUCCGAGAGGAAUAGGCGCAGCCGCCCAAGGGGCCCAAGGCGACAGCCGCCCGCACGGCCGACGGUUUCCUGCGGAGCGGCCCCUCCCACAGCCAGGAGCCCAGCGCCCAGAGCCCAGUGCCAGCAGGAAACCCGGCACCUCGGCCCGGCCAGGCUGGCGACGCCGCCUGGACAGCGAUCGCAAACGCCUUCUAGGAGGAAGACGGGGACAGACGCCCCCUGCUGGUGAGGGAGCCCAGUCACACCCCAGGCACUGGCCGGGCAGCCCAGGUAGGAAACUGCGGCUGGGGCGGCGCGAGGGGCCGCUGCGCGCAGGCCCCGGGAAAUAAGGGGCAGAGGUGGGAGCGGUGCUCUGGCUUCUCCCCGAGAAAAAGAGGGAGGUGGGCAGAGCCGGGACGAGAGCACCUGGGACCCUCACAGCCUCUGACUCGCCAAGUCUCCAUUUGAGGACUUCGCAUCAUAGAAGCAGCUGGAUCAGAGAAGGGAAAUUCGGAAAGGACCUCGCCCGUGAAGGGGGCACAGAACCGGACCUGCCCCCACAGACUCGGGACUCGCGCCCCAGUGCCAUCCCCGCGGCCGAGGAACCCAGGAAUCUGGCCGCUGCGUUUGAGCCACAUAAACCCGGGCUUCGGCCCCUCCCCUCCCGUCCAGGAUGAGGAAGAAGUGGAGACACCGGUAGCAAGUCUGGGUUUCCUCCCGGCCCGGAUGGAGUCCUGGCUGUCUCCCCAGAGCCAGGCACCUGACUGGACUCCCAGGGGUGCCCAGGAGAUAGAGACUGAAGACUGGCUGACCGCUCACCCAUUGUGCAGCGGGGAAAGUUCAGGUUCACAGAGGUGAAGCUUGUCCUUGCAAAAAGAAACGGAGCUGUGAGCCGGGGCUGGCCUAAAGAGAUUCCGGACUUGUUUCCCAGCCGGGUGUACUGACCCCAAUGCCUCCAUCACUGCAACCGCAGGUCCUGGCCAGUCCAAGGCCGUGCCAUAGUUAAAACUGUCCCUGACCCCACAGCAGCUUCUUCCCAAGUCCUCUGAGCCACCUUCGGAGGUGGCAGCCUGAGGCCACCCUGCUGGGUUUGCCAUUGAGCUAUCUUGGAAAAAACGGAGGGGGUCAGGUGACAUGAAGGAGGCAGCCUGGUCCUGGGCACUUUCCUGCAACCAAGAAGCAGCCAGAGAUCCCAGACCCUCAGCAGGGAGGGGCCAAGAAGUUGCUGCUAUCAUCCCCACUUCGCAGGUGAGAACCUGCGGCACAGAGAGGGUGUAUUUUCCCCAAGACUGCACAGCAUUGCAAGUGGCAGGACAGGCCCAAACCCUCUGCUCCGGUUUAGGCUCAAAGAGAGUUGGAAGAGCCAGGGUCUCAGUCCCCCUGGCCAUGGGCUGUGGGGACAUUGACUCCUCGCAGUUCUGCAAAAUGGCUCCAGCCCAGGGCACUGUCCCUUCCUGACAUACAGGCGCUGAUGACGUGGGGGGCGGUGAGAUCACAGCGCUGUGGAGAGGAAAACAGGGACCCGACUGCCAGCAGGGGCCCUGCCCACUGGGCCCCAGGGUGGAUUUUGCCCAGAGGCAGGGAUCCAGGUCAGAGGAGACGGGCCUGCUCCUGGGUGAGCCCAUUCUCACCUUUCCUUCCAUCUGUGCCAUGCACACCUUGCCCCAGCCCCCACCCUGCUGAGUGGAUCCUCGGUCCAGGGCUGGGGCAUGACUGGAGGGGACCCCCACUUGGGGGACCCACCACAGCCUUGCCUUUCACUCACAUCCAGGUUGGGGCUCUUCAAGGAGCCUGCAUGCCUCCCGGGUAAGUGGCCAUGGGUGCCACCUCUAAAGGCCUGCCCAGGUGGAGAAACUGAGGCCACGGGGCCCGAGAUGUGCAUAUCUUCUAAAUACGCCCACGUCUGCCUUGCUCCCCCUCCUCCACACUGGCCUGCCCUGUCCUCACUCCGACCCUGAGACAGCCUCCUGACACUCCCCAUUCACCCCCGUCCCCCUCCAACCCUUUCUCCACCCAGCGGCCAGAGAGUUCUUGAACACGAGCAUCAGCACAAGUCGCUGCUUCUUAAAACCCUUGGAGGGUCAUUCCCCAGCCCCACUGGUUCCCAGUUGUUCCAGCAACAUUAGCUGAAGACUUUCCUUUUCCCAUCUAGUUACGUGGGUGCCUCUGUUGAAAAUUAAUUGACCGUGUAAGUGUGGGCCUAUUUCCAGGUUCCCUCUUCUGUUCCGUGGGUCGAUUGAUUCGGCCUCAUGCCGGUGCCGUCUGGGUGACCAUGGCUUUACCACGCGUCUUAAGGUCAGUGUCCGUCUCCCAUUUUCGUUCUGUUCCCAGCUGUUUUGGCUACUCCAGGUCCUUUGCACUUCCAAACAAGCGGUAGAACCAGCUUGUCAAUUUAUGGUGAAGUUGUAGGUUUUUCACAGAUGCUUCUCCUCAGGUAAAGAAGUUCCUUUUUAUUCUUCGUUUGUUGAGAGUUUUUAUCAUGAGUAGGGACUGAAAUUUAUCAAAUGCCUUUUCUGCAUCUAUUGAGAUGACAUUAUGGUGUUCUUUAUUUUAUAAUGUGGUGAAUCACAUUGAUUUUGGGGUGUUGAACCAAUCUCACGUUACUGGAAUAAUUAUAUCUCAAUAAAGGUGAUUAAAAAAUUUUUAAGGCAAAAAUGAGAUGGGGGACUUUGAGUGAAAAACACAUAAAGGACAUAAUCAAUCACAAUGUGCAGAACUUAUCUGGAUAUUGAUUUUUUAAGCAUAAAAGAAAUACCAUCUUUAUGACCAAUUAGAAGCUUGAAAACUGAUAGACAUUUGAUGAUAACAAGACACUACUGUUGAUUAUUUUAAGGCAUGAUAAUGGCAUCAUGGAUAUGUGUUUUAAAAGGGUUUUCCAAGUUUGGAGAUGUAUCCUGAAGUAUUAAUGAAUCAACAGGAUUUUCGAAAACAGUUGGCUGCCCCCCCAUCACCCACAGGGUCACGCCCAGGGCCUGCUGUCCCUCCCCUGCCCGAACCCAGCUGCACCAGCCGCUCCAGCCGAACCGGCCGCCUGGGGUGUCUUCCACCUGCUGAGCUCUUGGUCCUUCCACCUGCUGAGCACAUACUGUUUCUUGGGGACGGCCCCUCCGGCCCUCUCCCCUCUUCCACCAGCUUGGUCCCUUGUCAUCUCCUCUCUCCCGUGCUGGUAGGAGAGGGCAGAUGCCUCAGGUUCCCAUGUGACAGCCACCAUCUCCUCUCACCGGUGCCUCUGCAGGAAACCCCUCACCUGUCAUC